GACGAACGCUGGCGGCGUGCUUAACACAUGCAAGUCGAACGAAGCUUGAUUACGGAUUCUUCGGAUGAAGUAUGAUAUGACUGAGUGGCGGACGGGUGAGUAACGCGUGAGUAACCUGCCCUUCAGAGGGGGAUAGCGUUUGGAAACGAACGGUAAUACCGCAUAAUGUAUUUUGACCGCAUGAUCGAAAUACCAAAGAUUUAUCGCUGAAGGAUGGACUCGCGUCUGAUUAGGUAGUUGGUGGGGUAACGGCCUACCAAGCCGACGAUCAGUAGCCGGACUGGGAGGUUGAUCGGCCACAUAGGGACUGAGACACGGCCCAGACUCCUACGGGAGGCAGCAGUGGGGAAUAUUGCACAAUGGGCGCAAGCCUGAUGCAGCAACGCCGCGUGAAGGAAGACGGUUUUCGGAUUGUAAACUUCUGCUCUUAGUGAAGAAUAAUGACGGUAGCUAAGGAGCAAGCCACGGCUAACUACGUG
rnacentral:rRNA from 1 species